rnacentral:rRNA from 1 species
UACGUAGGGUGCGAGCGUUGUCCGGAAUUAUUGGGCGUAAAGAGCUCGUAGGCGGUCUGUCGCGUCGGCUGUGAAAACCCGGAGCUCAACUCCGGGCCUGCAGUCGAUACGGGCAGACUGGAGUUCGGCAGGGGAGACUGGAAUUCCUGGUGUAGCGGUGAAAUGCGUAGAUAUCUGGAGGAAUACCGGUGGCGAAGGCGGCAUCCUGGACCGGCAUUGACGCUGAUGAGCGAAAGCUAGGGGAGCAAACGGG